GAUGAUUGAUUCGUCCCUGUUCCCUGGUUCACCUGGAUUCGCAGACCUUUCCUGAGUUGGUGGAGGAGUCGUUGCUAGAUGAUUGGGAUUUCCGGCAGGUGGAAUCGCAUCAGAGGAGGCGCAAUUUCUGGACUCUCCUCCUCAGCAACUACAUUUUUUGAACGAGGGUUUUGGUUUGGUUUUAACAGAUGAACUAACAAAAAGGUGCCGACAUCGGUUGAUUUAUAGAGCGAGGAUGGAUAAGAAAUUAGAGGCAGCUUCAUCUUCUUCAUCAGUUGAUUAAUUUCUCAGUUAAGAUCCACAUGGUAGAAGAGGAGUAGAAAAUGGACUGUUUGCAUAAUUGGUGGAUCCGUUGUUCUUCAAUCGCUAGAAAAUUUGGUGAAUCUGUCAUUGUUACUUACUACAAGGAGCUUCCUAACUCCAGGUAGAAGGAGAUGAUAUUAAAACAGAUGAGUAUUAUGGAAGAGCAAUACUAGCGACUCCUAGAGACGGAGACCUUUUGUCUUUGUAUGGCAAACUAAUUUGGGACGUACAGGCCAUUAGCGUCUCUCCUGGUGACUGUAGGGUUAUGGGAUCAUUAGCACAAUUUAUGUAGGAUGCAGUCCGGAUCUAAGGUGCCGGUUCCUGCCACAAAAGCGAUAUGAUAAUUGCAGCUUUUGCAGGAGAGUUUGAGUGGAAGCGUUAUUACUUAUUAGGUCAUCAACAGGAGAGUUUGAGGAGGAAUUGUGAAUCAGAACCAGAAUCAAGGAUGUUAGCUGUGAAUUAUGUGCAAAUAAAACAUCCUAAAAUACUAAAUACCACACAGGUCGAUUGUAGUCUAUACUUUAUAUCGCCGCGUACGAUGCCACGGCAUGUGUUUAUUUUAUGUACGUUUUGAGUUGGUCUAUGUUUCAACGCCGCAUAUGGUGCCGCCGCAACACGCGGCGGGUUAAAAAACUAGCUACAUCUUAAAGCACAAAUUCGGCGCCUACACCACCGACCAAAACGUUUGGGAUUUUGUGCUUUCUCCUCCUCUAUUUGCUUUUCAGUAGUUUCUCCCAGUUUCACUAUUCGUCCCUGUUGCCUGGAUUCGCAGACAUUUCCGGAAAUGUUAUCGGAGUUGGUGAAGGAGUCGUUGCUAGACGAAGAUGUUAUUGGGAUUUCCGGCAGGUGGAAUCGCAUCAGAGGAGGCACAAUUUCUGGACUCCCCUCCUCGGCAACUACAUUUUUUACACGACAUUUCGAUCCAUUUUUACUCAUCGUCUUCUUUCUCUAACGUCGAACUAUCUGCGAAUGUUGUUUGAUUGAUUUUGUGUUAGUGCGAUUUUGGUUUCUAGGGUUUAGUGUAUAUAUUAAGGGCUUUAACAGGGAACUAACAAAAUGGCGCUGGCUUUGGUUGAUUUAUAGAGCGAAGAUGCAUAAGAAAUUAGAGGAGUGUGAUUCGACGUAAUUAUGUGCAAGUAAAACAACCUGAAAUGCUAAAUACCACACAGUCGUAACCAUCGAGGGAUGAUAGUGGUCUGGAGCCUCAACCGUCGUCUUCGGCGUAGCCAGUGGCGAAGCUUGAAAAUUUCCACCGGUGGGUCGGAAGUCAGCGGACCUAAAAGUAUAUACCUAUUUUUUUUAAAACCGGGGGGUCGAAAACGUAUAUACCUAAAAAAUUCUAUACGGAACGUACAUACAUAACACUACUGAGCGAAAAGUUCAGGGGGUCGCCCCCUAGCACCGCGACCCUUCAUAGCUUCGCCGCCGCGUAACGGCUUCCGAUAGUAAUUCCGGUAACGACAGAAGGGAUGACAUCAGUCAUCAACUGCAAGCCAGUUUUCCGACGAAGAGGGUUAUAUGACCAAAUCGGUCGGCGAUGACUAUGACACAUCAGCAUGGAGUUAAAAAGAUGCCUGCUUUAGUUAAUUACAGAGGUUCAUUCUAUGAGGGAAUUUCUCAUUUUAGUAGGAUCUUUCCAAUUAAAUAGCUUAAUAGCCAUAUUGGUAGCGGUUGGGAUGAUUUUAGCCACAACAAUUCACGUGGCUCGGACCUAGCUUUAUGAUUAGUUCGUCAUAAGAAGAAUCUGAUCUGUUUUAGUAUACGGAUCAACCUGCAUCACCUCAGGUGAGUAGCCACUCACGUACGUAAUUGUUAUAGGGCAUUGUAUUGCCUGCCGAACGUGGUGCCGCAUCGCUACGAGACCGAAAAAGACAGUGCACCACGAUACCCAGUUCCUAUCUAGGAUGCCCGAGGAGUAUGAGUUGACGCUACUGAACGUUUGCUACUGAACAGGUUUAGUAGCAUCAAUAAUUCAAACAUGCUACACUGUUCAUUGAGUCAUUCUAGAGUGCAGGGGACCUGUAUGAGAAGUAUGUUUGAUACAUGUCGAACCAUAGUUAAAAAAAAAAACAACGAACCGAAUACGUUGAUUCCAUUUGGCCAUAUUAUAACUAUUAUCUUUGGGUUUUUU
rnacentral:lncRNA from 1 species